rnacentral:rRNA from 1 species
ACGGGUGAGUAACGCGUAAAGAACUUGCCUCUUAGUCUGGGAUAACAGAUGGAAACGACUGAUAAGACUAGAUAUUAUUAAAGUUUCGCAUGAAGCUUUAAUGAAAAGAGAUGCUAAGAGAGAGCUUUGCGUCCUAUUAGUUAGUUGGUGAGGUAACGGCUCACCAAGACGAAGAUGGGUAGCCGGUCUGAGAGGAUGAACGGCCACAAGGGGACUGAGAUACGGCCCUUACUCUUACGGGAGGCAGCAGUGGGGAAUAUUGGACAAUGGAGGAGACUCUGAUCCAGCAAUUCUGUGUGCACGAAGACGGUUUUCGGAUUGUAAAGUGCUUUCAGCAGGGAAGAAGAAAGUGACGGUACCUGCAGAAGAAGCGACGGCUAAAUACGUGCCAGCAGCCGCGGUAAUACGUAUGUCGCGAGCGUUAUCCGGAAUUAUUGGGCAUAAAGGGCAUCUAGGCGGAUAUACAAGUCAGGGGUGAAAACUUAGGGCUCAACUCAAAGCUUGCCUUUGAAACUGUAUAUCUAGAGUGCUGGAGAGGUGGACGGAACUACACGAGUAGAGGUGAAAUUCGUAGAUAUGUGUAGGAAUGCCGAUGAUGAAGAUAGUCCACUGGACAGCAACUGACGCUGAAGUGCGAAAGCUAGGGGAGCAAACAGGAUUAGAU